ACUGCUCAGUAACACGUGGACAACCUGCCCUUAGGUUGGGUAUAAACCCGGGAAACUGGGUAUAAUACCCGAUAGGUCUCGAUUGCUGGAAUGCAUCGAGAUUUAAAGCUCCGGCGCCUAAGGAUGGGUCUGCGGCCUAUCAGGUAGUAGUGGGUGUAGCGUACCUACUAGCCUACGACGGGUACGGGUUGUGAGAGCAAGAGCCCGGAGAUGGAUUCUGAGACACGAAUCCAGGCCCUACGGGGUGCAGCAGGCGCGAAAACUUUACAAUGCUGGCAACAGCGAUAAGGGAACCUCGAGUGCCAGGUUACAAAUCUGGCUGUCGAGAUGCCUAAAAAGCAUUUCAUAGCAAGGGCCGGGCAAGACCGGUGCCAGCAGCCGCGGUAAUACGAU
rnacentral:rRNA from 1 species